rnacentral:tRNA from 1 species
AUCCACUUCUCAGUUGGUAGAACACAAGGCUCUUAACCUUGUGGUCAUAGGUUCAAGCCCUAUGAUGGAGG